rnacentral:misc_RNA from 1 species
UAGAUGGCUGUCGAGUAGGCA